UGACCGCAGCUGCUUUCCAAUCUUUGGGAAUCUCAGACGACACGAAAGAGAGGUUGAACAGGCUAGUAAUAGGGGUGGCAACAAUUUCGGCAGAUAAUUUUAGAAAGAAAGGGUCCAGAUUGUCUAGCCCGGCUGAUUUGUAGGGGUCCAGAUUUUUCAGCUCUUUCAGAACAUCAGCUGUGAGCGUUUUACAGUGAUGAGUGGAGGUCGUUUGACCGCUGACCCAUUACGGAUGCAGGCAAUGAGGCAGUGAUCGCUGAGAUCUUGGUUGAAGACAGCAGAGGUGUAUUUAGAGGGGAAGUUGGUUAGGAUGAUAUCUAUGAGGGUGCCUGUGUUUAAAGCUUUGGGGGGGGUACCUGGUAGGUUCAUUGAUAAUUUGAGUGAGGUUGAGGGCAUCAAGUUUAGAUUGUAGGAUGGCUGGGGUGUUAAGCAUGUUCCAGUUUAGGUCGCCUAGCAGCACGAGCUCUGAAGAUAGAUGGGGGGCAAUCAGUUCACAUAUGGUGUCCAGAGCACAGCUGGGGGCAGAGGGUGGUCUAUAGCAGGCGGCAACGGUGAGAGACUUGUUUUUAGAGGUGGAUUUUUAAAAGUAGAAGUUCAAAUUGUUUGGGUACUGACCUGGAUAGUAGGACAGAACUCUGCAGGCUAUCUUUGCAGUAGAUUGCAACACCGCCCCCUUUGGCAAAAUGUUGUAAUUUGGAAUUAAAAUUUCUGAAUUUUUGGUGGUCUUCCUAAGCCAGGAUUCAGACACAGCUAGAACAUCCAGGUUGGCAGAGUGUGCUAAAGCAGUGAAUAGAACAAACUUAGGGAGGAGGCUUCUAAUGUUAACAUGCAUGAAACCAAGGCUAUUACGGUUACAGAAGUCAUCAAAAGAGAGCGCCUGGGGAAUAGGAGUGGAGCUAGGCACUGCAGGGCCUGGAUUCACCUCUACAUCGCCAGAGGAACAUAGGAGGAGAAGAAUAAGGGUACGGCUAAAAGCAAUAAGAAUUGGUCGUCUAGAACGUCUGGAACAGAGAGUAAAAGGAGGUUUCUGGGGGCGAUAAAAUAGCAUCAAGGUAUAAUGUACAGACAAAGGUAUGGUAGGAUCUGAAUACAGUGGAGGUAAACCUAGGUAUUGAGUGAUGAAGAGAGAGAUAUUGUCUCUAGAAACAUCAUUGAAACCAGGAGAUGUUAUUGCAUGUGUGGGUGGUGGAACUAAUAAAUUGGAUAAGGUAUAGUGAGCAGGACUAGAGGCUCUACAGUGAAAUAAGCCAAUAAACACUAACCAGAACAGCAAUGAACAAGACAUAUUGACAUUAAGGAGAGGCAUCCUUAGUCGAGUGAUCAAAAGAGUCCAGUGAGUGGAGUGGUUGGUUUGGGGGUCACGGCGAUUUAGACAGCUGGCCAGGACAUCGGUAGCAAGCUAGCAUAGGAUGGAGGUCUGUUGUUAGCCACCUCUUUCUUGUGUUCCGUCAGUAGAUUAGUGGGGUUCCGUGUGGUUUGAGGGGAUUAGUCCAAAUCACACAAGAAAAAAAAAAAAAUAAGAAAAAAAAACAAUAGAUAUAGUUAUAGAGGCCCAAGAAGAAACAUAAUAAUAAUAAAAAUAAAUAAAUUGUCCGAUUGUCUAUUCUGAGAGCAGCCGGUAAGACAGCUAACGGUUAGCAGGCCGCAGAUGGGCGUUUGAUGAUUUGAUGAUGUUGAAAUGGUGCUGCAAUGACGUUAGUUGUCACUAUUAGUCUAAGCAGAGGUGAUUUGAUGAUGUUGAGAUGAUGCUGCAAUGACGUUAGUUGUCACUAUUAGUCUAAGCAGAGGUGAUUUGAUGAUGUUGAGAUGAUGCUGCAAUGACGUUAGUUGUCACUAUUAGUCUAAGCAGAGGUGAUUUGAUGAUGUUGAGAUGAUGCUGCAAUGACGUUAGUUGUCACUAUUAGUCUCAGCAGAGGUGAUUUGAUGAUGUUGAGAUGAUGCUGCAAUGACGUUAGUUGUCACUAUUAGUCUAAGCAGAGGUGAUUUGAUGAUGUUGAGAUGAUGCUGCAAUGACGUUAGUUGUCACUAUUAGUCUCAGCAGAGGUGAUUUGAUGAUGUUGAGAUGAUGCUGCAAUGACGUUAGUUGUCACUAUUAGUCUAAGCAGAGGUGAUUUGAUGAUGUUGAGAUGAUGCUGCAAUGACGUUAGUUGUCACUAUUAGUCUAAGCAGAGGUGAUUUGAUGAUGUUGAGAUGAUGCUGCAAUGACGUUAGUUGUCACUAUUAGUCUCAGCAGAGGUGAUUUGAUGAUGUUGAGAUGAUGCUGCAAUGACGUUAGUUGUCACUAUUAGUCUAAGCAGAGGUGAUUUGAUGAUGUUGAGAUGAUGCUGCAAUGACGUUAGUUGUCACUAUUAGUCUAAGCAGAGGUGAUUUGAUGAUGUUGAGAUGAUGCUGCAAUGACGUUAGUUGUCACUAUUAGUCUAAGCAGAGGUGAUUUGAUGAUGUUGAGAUGAUGCUGCAAUGACGUUAGUUGUCACUAUUAGUCUCAGCAGAGGUGAUUUGAUGAUGUUGAGAUGAUGCUGCAAUGACGUUAGUUGUCACUAUUAGUCUAAGCAGAGGUGAUUUGAUGAUGUUGAGAUGAUGCUGCAAUGACGUUAGUUGUCACUAUUAGUCUAAGCAGAGGUGAUUUGAUGAUGUUGAGAUGAUGCUGCAAUGACGUUAGUUGUCACUAUUAGUCUCAGCAGAGGUGAUUUGAUGAUGUUGAGAUGAUGCUGCAAUGACGUUAGUUGUCACUAUUAGUCUAAGCAGAGGUGAUUUGAUGAUGUUGAGAUGAUGCUGCAAUGACGUUAGUUGUCACUAUUGAACUAACUGGCGUUUUGUCUUCCCGUUGUGUCGGCCUUCUAUAUCACAGCGCCGUAUAAACUAAAGGGCGUUUUGUCUUCCCGUUGUGUCGGCCUUCUAUAUCACAGCGCCGUAUAAAC